rnacentral:lncRNA from 1 species
GCAAAAAUCUCUCCCACACGGUGUUUGAUUCCGCCGCCGAGAGAAACCUUUUACACACCACAGAGAGCCUGCAUGCCUCCAUAGGCCCAAUAAGCGAAACAACUUCUUCUAUGAUUUCCUCAGGUAGCUUUCCGAAUAAAUCAGCGUCGGCCAUCGGUGUUUAUACGUGAGAGGACGCCUUUGUUAUAAAGACUUGGUUUAUAUCCGCUCAUCUAAAUUAGAUGAGUGAGAGCGCUUUUUUAAUGCUAACAGAAAGUCUCACAACAAUUUUGAUUGAGGCUCUAGCCUCUAUGUAUACUGGGAUUUUAAUGCUCGCGGUGCUGGGCAGUUACUGUUUUUAAAUUGCUUAUAUACAUAUAAAUUAAUAUCUUAUAUUCGCGGUGAUAAUUUUAAUAAAAUUAAGUAAAUAAUUUUGCAUAUAUAUGAAUUAUUUUUCUCUUAUUAAAAGACUCAUUUUUCUCCUACUUUUCUUUUAUUAAAUUAAUUUGUGAAUGCAGCUCAAUAGUAUAUAAGAAAAUAGCGUUAAAUUCAUAUAUAAAAGUAACUAUUCAAAAUUGUCAUUAUUUAAGAGCAUCUCCAACCAUGAAGACCCCCUAGCUAAAAUAUGAGUUGUCAUGCCAAAAAUAAAAAAAAUUAGCCAAUCACUUUAAAAAUUCACACUCCAACCACAAUGACCUGUUGUCUAUAAAUUUAGCCAACCUCCAGUGGAUGGCUAAAUUUGUCGAACCUCUACAGGUCUGUAAGAAAUCUGUAGGAAGAUUGCACAUCAUUUAUUACCAUAUUGAGCUGAUAUAUUCUAUUUUAACAAUCUAAAAUAUUAAUAACAUGCUAUUUUUAAAUUAUAGCCAACCAAUAUAGCUAAUACCAUUGAAGAGAAAUGUCUUACAGGUUCAACAAAUUUUACAUAACGUCUUACAGGUCCAAUUUAGCCAACGAUUAUAGCCAACACCGUUGAACAUGCUCUUGUACCACGAAAUCUAAAUUUCAAUAAUAUGUUCUGUUCACCUGACAGAAGUUUUGGUUGGAUAAAUGGAGUGGGAAGAUGUGCCUCAAAAUGACAUAUGAAAUGCUCUCAAUCACACAGCUUGAAGCAGAUUACUGGACGAGAAGGUGAAAUUUUACUAUCAUUUUGUUUUUGGGCAAUAAUUACCUUUUGUUACUUAAGAGAUCUAUAUGCAUGUGUUGUAUGAUAAGUUUUUCAUAUGUUGUAAUUGUUAAAAACAGCGAAUACCAGUAUCCGGUGCUAGGUCAUGUGAUUUGGCUUGAAGUGUAUGGCAAAAUACCCACUUCAAGAUUGUUGGAAUAAUCUUAAACUUAUAAUUUUAAUUAUUUGUUUAAUUUUUAAUAUUAGCACCUGUUAGCCACGUCUAUGCAGUAAACCAAGUGUUUAGUUUGUUUUAGGUUGUUUAGGUGAGUCAUGGUGCAGUUAGGAGUUUGUUGGAGUAAUUCUGGGUGCAUGUUGUUGCUGAUUUGUAGGGAUUAGUUAUAUUAGGUGUAUUUAAAUUCCUAUGUUUGUUUUGAAGUUUAAGCCAACGAAAUAAUACUUACUUUCUUAAGUUCCAAAGAAAACAAGCUUGUCUAUUCUACGAAUAUUAGGACUUUUAUUUUCAACAUGGUAUCAGAGCGAGGUUUCUUUGUGGCAUAAUAAUAUGUUUUUUCAAGAAGCAGUUCCAGCUGAGAAGGUGGUUGCAGUAGACCAAAAUAUAAUACAUAAACUUUGAGGGGUCAUUGGGAUAAAGUGGUUAUCAGAAACUAAUAUACACAUUUGUUACCUCUCAAACAGUUAAAGUUAACGGUUGUUUUUAACGGGGUGGUAAGCCAUAGUUAGAGAUGAGCAGAAGUCAAACUAAAAAUUAAAACCGCACCAAAAAACUGCAAAAACCACACGAAAUAGCACCACAUAAAACCGCACUGAAUAAAAACCGAAUUGAGAUAAAACUGCACCGAUACUUUGAAUUUGGUUUUGGUUUCUAAAUAUUCUAAAAUAGGAUACAAAGUGAACCGAACCACAAUAAUAUUUAUAUUUAUUUAUUUAUUUUAUAUAUUUAUAUAUAAUAUAUAAAUUAUAUCUAUUAUAAAAUAUAUAAUUAUAUAUAUAGUAUGCACACAUGCUACACAGCACACUGUCCAGUCAGGUUUUACAUUUUACACUCGUUUUUGCCAGUCCAUUUUUUGUUGGGUUAAUCGGUUAGGCGUAUAGUGCAUCUUUACAGGUGAAAUUUAGGUGAACAAGUGAAGCCGGACAAGAUAAGAUGAAUAAAAUAGACUAGUUAUGGCUGUUGGCAUCUGAAUAUGCACUAGUCUAUCUGGUGCAUGUAAAAUAUGUCCGAAUACACUACUAUUUUCCGGUUAAGCUCUUUUAUUAUUUGAAUACUAGUUGAUAACCCGUGCUAAAUAUGGGUUUAAAUAAAAUUUUAAAAUUUAUUAUUUAUUAGAAGAAUAAUGUCAUUUUUAAAUUACUUAUCAUGUUUUUAUUAUAUCUAUUUAAAUUAUUGUUUAUAAAUCAUAUUUGAAUUAUUGUUAUUUUAUAUAAAACUUUCUUUGAGUUUCUAUUUGUCAAGUCAGUGUUACCACCGCCUUAUUCGUCUUUAUCGCAAAUCUUCUGAAAAACACUUAAUGAUAAUAAUUAUUAUUAUUAAAAAAUAUAUGACCAAGUUUUUUGGUACUUUGGUAUCAAUAUUGAAUCUUGUUUAUUUUAAUUAUGAAAUAUGAUAGAAAUUUUAUAUUUUUGUUUCAUAAAUUUAAUUGUAUGAGUUUUAAAAAUUAAAACGAAUAUUUGACGUAUGUAUAGAGUUUAGGUUCUUUUAUUAUAUGGUGUAAUAUGGAAAUUGACUUCUUUUUAUUUGAGUUUCUGUUUGUCAAGUCAGUGUUACCACCGCCUUAUUCGUCUUUAUCGCAAUCUUGAGAAAAAUACUGAAUGAUAAUUAUUAUUAUUAUUAAAAAAAUAUGACCAAGUUUUUUGGUACUUUGGUAUAAAUAUUAAAUCUUGUUUAUUUUAAUUCUGAAAUAUGAUAUAAAUUUUAUAGUUUUGUUUCGUAAAUUGAAUUGUAUGAGUUUUAAAAAUUAAAACGAAUAUUUGACGUAUGUCUAGAGUUUCGGUUCUUUUAUUAUAUGUUGCAAUAUGUAAGAUGACUUCAUUUUUUUUUGAGUUUCUAUUUGUCAAGUCAGUGUUAUCACCGCUUUAUUCGUCUUUAUCGCAAUCUUAUGAAAAACGCUGAAUGAUAAUAAUUAUUAUUAUUAAAAAAAUAUAUGACCAAGUUUUUUGGUACUUUAGUAUCAAUAUUGAAUCUUGUUUAUUUUAAUUCUGAAAUAAUGAUAGAAAUUUUAAAAAUUUAAAUUUAUGAUUUUUAAAAACUAAAAUGAAUAAUUUCGUUGACAUUAUUAUUCUAUUGAUAAGAUAUUAUAUUAAUAUCAAUAUGUACUCCUUAUUUAUAAUCAAUAUAGAAGUCUUUUCAUAAAAUUCUAAUCAAUUUAGAAGUAUUUCACUGUUCUAAUGAAUAUUGAGGUUUUUAAUAAUAAAAUUCUAUUUAAUAUAGAAGUCUUUUGACAAUAGUAUAAUAAUGAUUAUAAAAUCCUAAUCAAUAUGAAAGUGACCAAAUUUUGGUACUUUAGUACCGAUGUUCCACCGAAACGUGGUUUCGCUUAUUAAUAAAGGGUAUUGAUUGAUUACUGAUGGCAUACUUAUUAUAAAUUUGUUAAAGGUCCUAGCAUUCGAGAGUUUAUUGGACUUUUCACAGUUUGAAAACCAAAUCGCACCACGUAAAACCGAAUAAGAUUAUUUUUGAAGAUAAUUUGAAAUCUUAAUUGAAUAAGAUUUGAAUAUAUAUUUUAAAAUUCUAAUUGAAUAAACCUAUAUUUUAUGAAAGAAAAAAAUUCUACAAAAUCUCAAAUAAAUACACUCCAUCUAAUUUAGUAGGGUCCCGAACUGUCAUGAUGGGAUCAAUUUUUUUGAAAAUAAUUUGAUUGACUGAACUUGAAAUAGACAUUUAUGCUAGCGGAACUGUCCGGUCCGAUUUUCUAAAAAAAAUUGAUCCUUUUAUAUUUAAAUUUUAAAAAGUAAAUAUUAUAUUUGGUCCACAUUACAUCUAUAAAUAUUGUUAUUUCUCUAACGUUGUGGUCAUUUGGAUGGAACGGAACGAGAAAAGAAUGAAAUGAAAAAUUAUAAAAAAGUUUUGUGUUGAAUGAAAAAAAUAGGAGACAAUAGUGAUUAGAUAUGAGUGAAUCUAAUAUUCAAUUGAGAUUUUGUGGAUAGUUUUUAAUCUAUGGUUUAUAAUGGAUUGUAUGCGAUUCUGAUUUUGUACGCGUUCUUGAUAAAAUGUCGCAUAGUUGAUAUAGAUUCUUUAAUAUUUAAGCACAAUAUUUCAAAAUCUCAUGGAUUUUAGUGGGAUUUUAAAAACUUAAAAUAAACUGAACUAUGCCACAAAAUCUAUCAUUUUAUGAAAUCCAAAGAAAUCCAUCAACAUUUGAAUAUCAUCAGAUUUUAAUGGAUAUUAAACAAUCUCAAUUGAAUAUCAUGAGAUUUUUGAGCAUAAUUUAAAAACCUGAUUACCCUUAGAUUUUGUAGCAAAAUUUAAAAUUACAAUUGAAUACUUUAAGAUUUUAAUGAAUUUUAAACGAUCCUAAUUGAAUAUUCUCGAUUUUCAUGAAUGAAAAAAAUCUUUUAAAAUCCCAAUAAGAUAUAACCCUGUAAAUUUCUUAUGACGAAGAUUAUAGGAAAACAUGAUAAAGAAGUGGAAUGAUUGUUCUUUACAAAACAUAUGAGUUAUGUUUUUAGUGCAAAUAAUUAAAAUACGAUAAUUGAAAAAAUAAAAAUUAUAGACAUUUUUCAUUAUCACAUACAAUUUGGAAUAUAAAUUUCAUUCCGUUCUCUCUCCAUUCCAUUCCAUUUCAUUCGGUCUAAGUUAAUACAGUCUAAAAUUUUAAAAUUACAGCGAAAUCCAAAGUAGUUGGAUUGGUUAUCUUUAUUUCAUUUUAAUUUUGUUUAUGGUUCAACUGUUAAAGUUGAGUUUAAGUUUUUUUAAUAUAGGCUCUGUUUGGUAAUUAUCAGUUAGCUAUUAACUGUUAGUGGAUUGAAUUGGAUGUUCCGACUAGCUGAUUAAAAUAGAUGUUUUGACUAGCGGAUUGAAUUAAUAGUUUUUCGUAAAACUGUUUGAUAAAUAGCUGAUUGAUUAGUUUUUUCUAACACAAACCAAAACGUCUAACCCAAAAAAAAUUCUCAAAGUAGCUUUUUCAAAAUUAGAUUUUUGGAUCCAAGUCUCUGUUUCAAUCCAUUAACUAUCAACCAUUAAUAUUGAUGAAUUCUAGUGGUUAAAUCUAUAAGACACCUCAAAUAAUUUUGACGAAAACCUCUUAUAACUUCAACUAAAAAACUCAGGAGUUAUUUUGGUAUAUAUGUGUACUCCCUAGCUUUGAUCCUCAUCAAAUGUGCUUUCACUCUUGAAUAUGAGCCCGUAAACUCGUAAUUACAAAAAUUACAUUUUAUUCUUAUAUUUCCACCUCUUUCUCUUGAUUUUGUAAUUUUGGUCGCAUGUUUCCAUAGAAUGUCUUCACUUCCUGUUUUAAUACUUUGAGAAGCCUCUAAGCUUGAAGCUUAAUUGGUAGAUGAUUCCAUGACUAGAAAAAAAACAAAGAUAUAUAAAUUAAAUGUAAGGGCUAGUUGCUUGUUAGCAAGAGGUAGAAGCUCAGUCUAUAGCUCUACCGAACAAGGCGGUAGAAUGCUCAAAAUAACAAAGUUGGAAAAAAUGUCUUCAAAUAUCCGUCAGAGACGCGUGUUUGGCUGUUUCAAGAUGCUACACCGUGUAGCGUAUCGAAAGAGGAUGAUAUAGCGGAAGAUGAUAGAUAGAAAUAAGAGUGGAAUACCCGAAUAUGGCGGUGCGGCGCGGAUGAUCACGGUGGCUGAAUCGCGCCCUCAGUCGCUGUGCUUGAUAACUCCAGAUCCCGUUCCGGCCUUUUCUCCGCCUUGCUCCGUCGUCUUGCGGUGUAGCUGCUGGAUGGGUGCCUGCAAAACAACGCCGGAGGGGGGUUUGGACCCCGAGGCGCCUCCGGCGUGAGAGUAAGAGCGGGCUUGAAAGUAGUCGGACGGAAAAUGAGCUAUCUAUCAAUGUAGAGGGUGUGUGUAUGGUGGUUGCUUGAGUGGUUGUGUUUGCUGAAUAUAUUCAACAUAUAUAUUAAACCCCCCUCCGGCGUUGUUUUGCAGGCACCCAUCCAGCAGCUACACCGCAAGACGACGGAGCAAGGCGGAGAAAAGGCCGGAACGGGAUCUGGAGUUAUCAGUGCUCUUCUAUGCUUCUUCUGAUUAGGGCUUCAUGUAAAUUUAGGAAUUAAAAUACGUGACGGGUAUGUUUUUAUUAAAAGUCAAAAAUUAUCAUGUGAAAAAUUACCGUUUCUGCCUUUCUCGCACGGUGUAUCCCGGUACAAGUGCAGGGGGAUAGCCACGCGGUGCACCCGGUGCGCACCAGCCGCACCCGCACCGCACCCAUGCUUCAUAAUUGAGAAGACAGCAGCUCAUUUAGGGAGUGUCCUAUUCUCUCUAACCUCCUGAAUUUUUACAGCCAUCAAUGACGGCCACUGACACUAGCUGUGAGUCUGUGGUCGUAAGUGGUCAGCAACAAUAACAAAACACAACUCCUCAGCACCCACAAAGGGAUGUGCAACAGCCCAUCUGGGUAACUAUGAUUAUCUACUUGUAUUGACUUCAGUUUUUUGCUUUACUUGUCCGUUUGAUAGCUUAUUAUUUAUUUAUCGUGUAUGUAGUCUUCUCGCAAUUGCAGAGUAGACCCUGGCAGAGUUCCCCUCGAAGGCUACUGGAACUGCUGUAGACUGGGUGCAGAUGGUUGGGAUGAAGGUAUGUGCAAGAUUUUCGCACUCUGAUAACAUAGAAUACUCACAGAUUUGUAGGAAUGAUUUGUUCUUGUGUUAAAAAUUCAAGUUUGCUCUAGCUCAGAGCAAAUUGCCCAUGUUACAUUUAUUCAACAUCUUCUUUAUAAUAUUUGCAGCCUGGUCCGGAUUCUAUUGGCAUCGUUGCGGUUUCCCGCAAUUGUAGUGGGAUAGCAGCACGAGCCUGCGGUCUUGUUAGCCUAGAGCCCAUGAAGGUAGAUAUCUUAAAUUUUUUGAGCUUCGACUUUGCUUUCUUUUCUUCUUGGUACAUUUGAUGAUUGAAAAGUCCUUUUCUGUUCGUGGUAUAUUUAUGAUCACCUGUUCUGUUUUAGGUCGCCGAAAUCCUUAAAGAUCGUCCAUCUUGGUUCCGUGAUUGCCGUUGCCUUGAUGUUUUGAGUGUCAUUCCUACUGGAAAUGGAGGAACAAUAGAGCUCAUAUAUAUGCAGGUUUGCAUCAUAUUAAGCUGAUGAACUGUCCAUUUUGAGUUGCUUGAAUCUCAAAGUUCUUUCUAUAUAGAGAGUGUAAAAUGCAAGGGGUUUAUUACGUAAUUGUUCUCUCAGACAUGUGCCUACAACAUUGGCAUCGGCCUGAGACUUUUGGACACUGAGAAAUACUACAACUUUGGAAAGAUGGCAGUCUUGUGGUAAAUCAUUACUGUUACUUUCAGGACACUCUUUAUAGAAAUUUAUUGUUAGUCUGGUUACGUUGGAUCUAACACUGGUUCAUAAUUUGCAGAUAUGCGAGAGGUCUCUGACUUCUUUAACUGGUGGUCCACCUGGGCCACCUGCCACAUGUUUUGUAAGAGCUGACAUGUUACCUAGUGGUUGUCUGAUUAGACCUUGUGAUGGCGGCGGCUCUAUCAUCAACAUUGUUGAUCAUGUCAAUCUGGAUGUAAGUCAUAAAUGAAUUUGAGGUCUGCAUUUUGUUGUUCUAGUACCUGAAUUUCUUAUGCAAUGAUUCGUAUGUGUUAUAUCCUUGGAGCGUGCCUAAAGUUCUGAGGCCUCUGUACGAAUCAUCAAGAUUACUUGCUCAAAAGAUGACCAUGGCACUAAGAUCAUCAACCCUGGGGAUUAUGUUAUUAUGUGGCAACUUCUAUUAUAAGUUUGUUCUUACUAAUUUUAUCUACAGUCUUUGAGACAUAUAUGACAAAUCGCACAAGAAUCAAGUGGAGAAAUUCAGUAUACUGGUGGGAAGCAACCUGCUGUUUUGCGAACAUUCAGUCAAAACUGUGCUGGUGAGGUUUUACUCCAAGCUCUAAUGAGAUCUUAGUUAUAAACCCUGUUUAAAGACUUACCAGUGAAUUUAGUGCAUGAGUUCACUUCAUAAUGCUUAUAUCUUUAUAUUACCCUUCGUCUAAGAUUAGAUGAAUUUGGAUCACAGGGGUUUUAAUGAUGCUGUAAAUGGGUUUCUCGAUGAUGGUUGGUCGAUUUUGGGUAGUGACGGUGUGGAGGAUGUUACCAUUGCCAUCAACUCGAAUCCAGGAAAAUAUAACAACACAUUAUCAAUACUGCCGACAUUUGGAGGAGUGCUCUGUGCCAAAGCAUCAAUGCUUCUUCAGGUACUUUUUUUUCACCAGUAUACAUUUUCUAUCAAAUCAUGGUCAGGCAUAUUUUAUUCCAAAAGAAACUUUCAUUAACAUUGCUAAUGGACACUGUGGUUAUAUGCAGCAUGUACCCCCAGCUUUACUUGUUCGUUUUCCAAGGGAGCACCGAUCAGAGUGGGCUGAUUAUGCAAUUGAUGCUUACUCUGCUGCAUCUCUGCAAUCAAGUCCCUAUGCUAUUCCCUACGCCAGACCUGGUGGUUUCCCUGGGACCCAGGUCAUUUUGCCUCUAGCUGAUACAGUGUAGCAUGAGGUAAAAAUCAUGUGUUUUCUAUAUUGGUUAAGUCAUAGGAAUCAUGUUUUAAGUCAUAGGUUUUUUGUGUUUCAAGGUUAGCUAGUUCACGUAUUGCGUUAUUCAGUGACAAAUGUCAUGUAUAUAUAUUUCUAUGACAUGGUACAGAACAAAAGCACUUCAAAUUAUUUCCAAACAUGAAUAUUUCAAAAUUAUUAUUAUCUUUGGUGGUUUUGAUCAGCACUAUGCAUAUUUUUCCAUCAAGUGCAAUGGAAAAAGUUACAUUUUUUUUAGCGGUCGAAUGGGUGCCAAUGUAUUGCGGGAGGGUACCGUGUAUCCCCAAUCUCAUUACGAAUCAGUUCACACUACACGGUCUGAGAAGAUCGCGUCAGGUUGGAGAAAAGGAUGAUGCUGAUGUGGAAAAAGUCGUAAGUAUUUCACCGUACAUUUAUAUAUUAUGCAUAUUAAUUUGUGUGUUUUUUUUUAAUCAAUUUUUGUGCUUUUACUUGUUUUAAAGUAAGCAAUGUCUCUUGGCCAUGGUGACUUAUAAAUAUAAUAUAUACGGUGUCUUGAUAAUUUAUGAUAUCUUUUCUUAUUUUAAUGUAUAAAUUCCAAUAAAAUAUUCAUCCUUAUUAUUAAGAAAAUAUAUUUAAAUUAUUAUUGUAGGGAANNNNNNNNNNNNNNNNNNNNNNNNNNNNNNNNNNNNNNNNNNNNNNNNNNNNNNNNNNNNNNNNNNNNNNNNNNNNNNNNNNNNNNNNNNNNNNNNNNNNNNNNNNNNNNNNNNNNNNNNNNNNNNNNNNNNNNNNNNNNNNNNNNNNNNNNNNNNNNNNNNNNNNNNNNNNNNNNNNNNNNNNNNNNNNNNNNNNNNNNNNNNNNNNNNNNNNNNNNNNNNNGUAGGGAAAAGAAAGAUAGAAGGGACAAAAUAUGUUGAAACGGGGAGAAAUGAUUUUUUAUUGAUGAGAACGAUUUUUAAGACAUGUAUAGUGAUUAUUUCAAAAAUAAAAGAUAUCUUAAGUAUUUCACGAUAAUGUUAAGAUAUUGUUGAAUCACUUAUUUGUUCUAAAUUCCAUAAAUAUUUGUUUAUAAUACCAUUUUAGGACAUGAUUACUUAAAAUAGCAAGCUGAAAAUUUCAUAAACAUUAUAACUAAAUUUUGAAAGUCUGAAAAAAAUAUACUAUUAACGAUUUUCCGCACUUGUAGUGUAAUUUUAAGGCAGUUUUGAAAAAGAGUUGGCCUUUCUUUUUAUUUAUUUUUAAAAAAGCGGCCUUUUUUUUACCCUCGUAAACUAGAAAACACAUAGCUACGUGCAUCAGCAUUCUGCCGAAAAGUGAGAAGCAUCCGCUCUUUUAACUUGCUUUUGUCUCAAAUAAAUUCAAACUAAAAUAAUUAAAAAGCUUAGAUAGUUUCCACGAUCUCCGAUGGAACUUUGGUUUUCAUAGAAAUUUUUUGUGAAAUAUAAUUACAAAUUUUAUUUAAAAAAUCAUAAAUAGAAAUAUAUACAAUUAUUUUAUUAAAAAGUUAUUGAAAAACAUGAACAUGAUUUUACAGAAGAAUACAAUAUAUUCGGAAUUAUUCUACUUUAUAUAGCACCGGUUUCGAAAUUUUUUCUAUAUAUUAAAUGUUAAAUUAUUCAUAAUAUAUACGUUACAGUAUUCUAUAUUAAACUUAUAUAUCAUACACACACACCCCCACACACACAUAUAUAUAUAUAUAUAUAUUAUAAUAAAAUUAAUGAUUUCUAAUGUUAUAUUAUGACAAUACUUAUUUAUCUAUACAAUACAAUACUAUAAUAAUCCAACAUGGGUAUAAUUUGUAAUCCAAGUUUUUAGUUAUAUAUUUUGGUUUAGUACUCUACCUCUCAAACUACAAGUUUGGAAAAUAGGUCUAUCACUCUUACAUUGUUAAAUAGUUUUAAAUACUAAAAACACUCAUGACAAUACAUUAUCCUAUAAUAUUAUUUUAUGAAAAAAUUGUAAUGAUGUUAAAAAUAAAAUUAUAAAUAUCCAAUUUUGAAUAUUUUUUGAACAAAACCCACAUAUAACUUUUAACUCUAACGUGUUCUAUUUCAAUAUAGACAUUAACCAUAAUAGAAAAAUCUAUACUAUACUAUUAAAGUCGAAAUUUUAAAAGUGCGGUCGGUCGGAUUAUGGACCUAUUUAUAUAACCAAUUAUCCUUUUUAAUUAUAAUAUAUUACUUUUUAAAUAUAUUUUUUAACUAAAAAAACUCAAACUUCCACAAAUAAUUUAGACAACAUAUCAAUUACCCUUUUUAACUAAAACACAUUAUAUUUUUAGAUUUCUAAACAUGCAACAUACAUAUAAAAAGAUACUUUCAUUAUAUAUAAUUAUUGAUAAACAACUGAUGAUAGUUUUUAACUAAAAUACAUUAAUAUUAAUUUUAAAUACUUUAAUUAUCUCACUCUAGAACUAAUUUUAUAAAUCUUUACUAUCUGUACUAGAUUAUACAAUAUAUUAUUAUUAUCUUAUUAAAAUAGAAAUAUUAAAAUUUUCGUUUGUCGAUUGUUAUUGAGCCUACGGCCUCCUUAAUUUAUAAUGUUUCUCACAGAAUUUUUAAUUAUCUAUUAUUUGGUUGGUAUGAUCGAUUGAUAUUUGAAUUUACGGGGUUCUAACUUAUAACAUGUUUAAUACUAUAUUAUUAAUGACGAAAUUCAAAAAGAUUGAUUGGUUGAUUGAUAUUUGGGCUUAUUGAUCUCCUUAAAUUAUGUUAAAUUAUAAAAUUCUCAUUAAACAUAUAUUUUCGAUUAGCCAUUUGACAUAGCAUAAUUAUUAACUUAAAUAAAAAGAACUUAUUUAACACACUAAAUUAAUUAAAAUACAUCUUCAAUACGUUAUUAAUUUUAAAAGCAUAUUUUAUUAAAGGACACAUUAUUCUAUCAUAAAUUUAUCUUCACAAUAAGAAUAUUAGUUAAAUUUAAAAUAUAUAUGAUAAUAUUACAAAUAUAAUGAACCCGACGAGUAAAUAUGAAUUUAUUUUAUUUUUGUUGCUUUAGUUGUUAAUAAAAAUAACUAUAACAUGAUUCAUAGUUCCUCACAAUUUCGCAGAUUAGAAACAGAAUAAGAGAUCUUCGAGCUUAUUGUCCUUCAAUUGCGUCGGGAAGGCCGGAAACUACUUUUUGGGUGCAUGAGUGGAGGGUUCAUGGAAAAUAUUCCGGGUUUAAAGCGGAUGAAUAUUUUCAGCUGGCGAUUGAAGUUAGUAAAAUGCAAAAUGUCACAAAAAAUUUAAAUGAUAAUCUUAUAACUGAAGACCAAAACUUCAAAUAUUCUGUUGAUCAGAUUCAGACUACCAUUAGAAGCGUAACAGGCUUUAAUCCUGUUUUGACAUGUCUUCGUCGCAGACAGUUCCAAUAUGAGCUUAUGGAAGUACAUAUUUGUAUAAAAAAGGAUAUCAAAGAUCAUCUUAUGAUACCUGACUAUGCAGCAUGCGACUACUCGACAAAUACAUGCGGCUGGUCGACAACUCGACCAAGUUUACGACUCCUGCCAGCUCCGGAUCCGGAUAUAAGUUUGCCUCCGCCUCCGCCUUCGUCAGAACUAACUUUCUUGACUCAGGUAUAUAAGUUUGCCUCCGCCUCCGCCUUCGUCAGAACUAACUUUCUUGACUCCACCUGAGGGUGAUUAUAAUUACGAAGAUUAUUUUUUUACCCUGAUUUUGACCCUGAUCAGCCAGAUUGAGCCAAAACAUUAACAUCCGAAAUUUUUCAAGUGGGGAAGAACAUUGUUCUGAUGUAGUGUAGACAUACUCUGUAAAAGCACUAUGUUUCUGUAAUAUACUUUUAUUUAUACGCAGCUAGCCAGCCUCCCCUAUGAAUUCCACCAGCGUACUUGCCUUUGUAUAACAAGGUUCAUUAUGGUGGUUUAAGAUGAGUCAGUUGGGUUGCGGCUUUAAAUUGGUGUAAGGUUCUUUUGGUGUAAUUGGUACUUAAUGAAUUGAUCUUGUGUCUUGAUACUCUUGCAAUAUAUGUAUUCUCUUCAAUCAACAUGUAGCCAUGUAAUAUAUAUAUAAUAGCAUAUUUAGGUUAAUGACAUGAAUGUUCCCCACGAGGUGUUAAGUAUAGUAUGUUCUCAGCUACUACAGCGUUUGAAUAGUGGUUCUUGUUCAAAAGCUGAUACAAAUAUAUUAUCCUCUAAAACUGUUUUCUGUAUAUAGAAUAUUUUGUCCCUUUAUAGUGACAAACUACUAAAGUGUAUUGUAUAAAUACUUGAAGACUUGGAUCAUGUGUCAUAAUUAACUACUAAUUCUCUGCAACAUUAUGUUGAUCAGCGUGGCAAAAUCAUUGAAAGGAGGAGCUUGACAACAUCCUUGUUCAAGAGAAAACUGAGCAAAUAGAGGUAUUUAACCAUUUGACAACGUAGCUUUAUCUUUCUACCAUGAUAGUUUUCACAGCUUUAUUAUUUGUUAAUUCUAAAUAGUUAUCAUUUUAAAAUUUCCCCUAUCUGAGAUUUAUCAGGUCAUAGGCUUUUUUUAAGGGUUUGGUCAAGUGAUUAUAUAUCCCUGAGAUGACAAAAUCGUACACAAUAAUUACUAGUCACUGCCCAUCAAAAACUGGUAGUUAACAUUUGACAGUAAUAUGGACACAUAUAUGGUGCAAAUCUAAAUUUUCAAUUCCACUCCAAAAUAAUUGGAUGCAGCAAAAUUUUAAUGCAGUUUUAUAGUCGUCGCUGAGUUUUUUUAAUGUUAUCUGGACUGCCCGUUGUUUUUGCUAUGCUUUAUUGUUCAAAGAGCCAUGUAUCGGAUCAGGUUGAUUAUAGCCGAUUUAUGGUAAACAAGAAUAUCUUUAGUUAAAUCCAUAAAGCAGAAAGCAGGUUCAUAGCUUGACCUUGACCUCAGCUGUAAUCAUGAUGAGUAGUAGGAUGUGAUAGCAUUUCGCUUGAUGCCGUUGACCAAUCAUUGAAUCAUAAACCAUGGAAGCUUAGAUGAACAAGAUCAUUAGUUAAAAUAUGCAUCAAAGCUUCUAAUUUUGUAGCUAGAAGAUCUUAAUGUUCUUAAAAUGUUACUUGCCCUUUUACCUUUUACCUCUGAUUUCUUGUGCAACAGACAACAGAUAUUGAUGAAGCUAUGGCACAAGCAGUUGAUAUCGGGGAAAAUGACGUAAGCUUCCUAAUUUAUCAGUCAUGGAAGUUGGUCUUACAUUAUUUUCAAUCAUUAUCCUACUUUCUACAAAUUUGGUAUCCACAGUGCAAAUCUUUAUGCUAGUUGGUUUCCAAUGUUUGGUAACACUUUUGGUUUUCCUAAGAUAGGAUGAAGGAGAAGCAGUGAUGCCGAGAGUAGUGAAGAGGGCGAGAAAAUUACACGCAAUUGGAGUGUCCUAAAAAGCACUCCUGAACUUCGUAAGACAAAGGUAAUCCACUUUCUAUUCUGCUGUAGUUUGUUUAGGCUUCUCCACUUAGGUUGUGUUCACUUGGUGUGAAUGGAAUGGAGGGAGAAUGGAAUGAAUUUUGUACUCUAAAAUGGUGUUGAUCAAAGAAAAUGUAUAUAAUUUUCAUUCUUUCAAUUAUUCUAACCUUACUAUUUUGACUAUAACUCUAACCCACAUGUUUUGGAAGGAAUGCGCAUUCCAUUUCAACACCAUAUUUCUUCACAAUCUUUCUCACAAAAAAUUAACUACAUUCAUAUUUUGUUACCAUUAUCUCAUACUUUCUUCUUUCUCCUUAAAACUUCUAUAUAAUUUUUCAUUCCAUUCUCCCCUCAUUCCAUUCCAUGAAGUGAACACAGCCUUAUAUGCUCUAAUGUGUCUUAAUGUCGGGGUGGAUGAUUAUUUGAUAUAUGACUGAACCUUUUUGGCUUAAAGAUGCUGUCAAAACAUAUUUAUAUGGCUUAACUUAAGUAUCUUCCACACAGUCUUGAGGAAAACAAUCUAUCACUCAAAAGACUGAAUUCACGUGCUCCAGUUAACUAUCUGAGUGUUCAAAUUUAGUUGUCAUGUCAACAACCAAUAGUUUGUCUUGCUUUGUAAACAUACGAUUUUCAUGAGUACACUUUGAAUUUCAUGAUUCCAGGAGAAGGCAAAAAGAGAACUAAAUAAUUCUUUAUGUUCACGAUCAAUUCUGUCUAACAUGCUUGUUUCCUUAAAUGUUUCAUUACUUCUGUAGAUACUAUAAUGUGUUGUUUUACUUGCAGGAAAAACCUAGGAAGAAUGGCAUGUCUCUUGACGAAGCUAUAGAUGAUCCGGAGAACAUAACUGACUUUAUUCUGGAUUUGGACGAGGACGUACGAGUAAUGUCUAUCAGAUGCUAAAAUACUGAGGUAAGUUGAUGAGAUUUAGUUAAGGGGAAUCAGACAGAGACCUACAUUGGUUUACAUGUCAUGGAGUAUACUUGAAAGACAACAGCUGAGACAUUAGGGCAAUCAUAAUAGAUUUAAGAGUUACUGAUUUUAUAUGUAACUCCUAUUUGGUGACUUCUAAAAAUGAAGAUUGUUAAGGAAUUGUGAAGAUUGUAAUUUUGGGAAAGUGCCUGGUCUUUAAAACCUUUUGCGUCCCUCCAAAAUAUUUAAUUUUCAAACCAAGUCCUGCGAAAUCUAUCUUUUGUUGCUGGCUUAAUAGGAUAUCUAAAUCCCACACCCCCAGAAGAGCUCACACAAGUGAAAUAUAAUUAGGCGAGAAUAGUUUGCUAGUGCAUGUUUUCAUUCCAAUGUGCACUUUGUAACUGCUCGAUUAUACUUAUAUGGGUUUUGUCAAUAAUUUGAUGACGUAAUUAAACGGUCAGUUUUUCAUGUAACGCAGAUAAUGAAUAAUGAAUUUCCACCAGAAGUGAAUUCAGAUUAAAUUCUUUCAUAUGAAUUAUCAAUUACAUAAGUUAAUAUAUAGUAGAUAAUAGUGAUGCAGGACAACAAUUAUUAAAAAAAGAAAAGAAAAAAAAGAAUGAUAGCUGAAAGAUUGGCUUGGGUGACUUAGUCGUACAAGAACCACUACCCAGGGGUUUCCCUGUGGCAGAAUCCAGAAAAGUCUUUGUAUAGCAAUCCUCAAUAUGUCUCAAUUUUGAUAAUAAUCAAAGCCUGCAAAUAAUAAGAACAUCUGCUUAUAUAGGAUUCAAACCCAAUCUUGGAUGAUAAGAAAAUAGACCUGAUAGGUAUCUUGAUUUCUAGUGUUUAACUAUUAUUACUAUAUAUCUAAUUUAGGUUAUUCCCCGGUAAUCUUCUUUUUAUCCAAAUUAAACUUCAGUAUGAAUCACUAACUAAUUAGCAAAAAUUACAACAUCGCUAAAUUUCUUCCUGUGCAUUAAUCAGCAGAUGCUUGAGAGUUUCGAAAACAGCUUUCUAUUAGUAGAACGUUUGAUACUUCUUACUUCAGAACCUUAAUACAACUGUGAUGCUAAGCUUCAAGCGUCUUUUCUUCUUUGUUCCAAUCUUUUAUGCGUUUUUCAGAUUCAAUAUCUGUAACAGGGUUAUCAUACGUUACCCAGGAGUUCUUUCCUUUGCGCUAUGAUGUUAUAAAUUAAUAUAAUUGAAGUCCUUUAUUAUGGCUGCAUCAAUUCACCUAAAAACAAAAUCCCACUUUGACAUGAUGCCCAUCCAUAGUUUUGGCUAUAGAUGCAAUUUUUAAACAGAUAGAUGAACAAUAGUUGUCACUGGACUGGGCAGGGGGGAGAAACACCUGAUACUCUGAUAGCUGGGUAUAUAUAUAUUGGUUUGUGGUCAAAAUGUAAAAAAUGUUUAUUGUCGAGUUAUGCUUCUGAAGGCCUGUACUUAAAAGACAAUCGAGACAAAAGUUUCCAACAUUACAGCCAUGGCCCUAUUGUAAGCUCAACUAUAUAGCUGGGAGAAAUGCUUCGAUCAGGAAUGUUGAACUAAUAUUUUGGACUCACGUAUUUAUGAGAAAAUCACAAUUUUUUAAUAAUGGUGAACUCUGCAUAUAUACAAAACCACAUUAAUCAAAUUGAAUUAAAAAUAUAUUUAAUAUUUAGCAUGUGCCAUCGCACACACUAGUCAAACUGUUAAUAAUAAUAUAUGAAUUUUAAUGGAUAGUAUGUAAUUUUGAUUUUACACGUAGUUUAAUGAAUUCUAAAUAAAGUAUAGUAGAAUCCAUGUAGAUCGAGUUCUUAGUAUUUGAAUACAAUAUUUUAAAAUUUUAUGAAUUAUAAAAAGAUUUCAAAAUCAAUACCCUGUUAUAUUAGUUUUAAUAUUUUAAAACUACAAUAUUAGUUUGUCAAACAACUACAACACCACUGUUAUAUCUACAAAAACUCCAAAUAUAAUUAUAUAUAACGUUUGCCUAUUAGAUUGAAUAUAACAAUUACGACUUAAAAUUUGAAUUUUAUUCGAGAUUAAAGACGCUAUAAACGAACUUAUAUGUGUUGAUCUUUGAAUAUUAUUUUCACAAUUUAAAAAUCAUCAAACAAUAUAAUGAUUUUACUAAAAUAAAACAUAUUGUUAGAGUUCCAUAAAAUCCACAUUUAAGCUGUAGUAAGUGCCGGUUAUAAUCUUUUAGUUUAGUUGUAAAUAAUACGGAAGCUAGCUUUACAAAUCAAAUUUAGCGCAACUCCAGAGAGACUCGAAUCCAACACAUCAAACAGUAGAAUAGACUAAAAAACCAACAAACUAAAAGAACAUAGGAAAAAGCUUGAUCAUUAAACAAACGAUAACCAGAAAAUUGAAUACUUUUCUCGACAUUAAUUACCAACCAUCAGCAGCAUAUCCCUUCCCUCAAACACCCCUUAAUCUUGGAUGCCACCCAUUCCAGCACCUUCAUCUGCAUUCUCUUCAGUUAGGUCGAUGACCGCAGGCCUCCCUCUGCCAUCCCUAAAUUCUGCCAUGAUUUCGCCUUCCCCAAAGUUCGGUUGAACCUCCAAAAACUCAGCUUGCGGACCCAAUCCCAUGUCCAUGUCCAGUUUCUCAUGCAAUUCCUCGAACGGCUGCGGAACUUCAACCAGUGAAGAGAAGUUGGACAUCCCAUACUGAGCUUAGUUGUAUUGUCAUAGAAUUCUAUAUCAUGAAUAAUCGUUAUGUAAAAAAGUCCUGAUCAAUAUAUACGUCUUAUAUCAUUUAAUAAGGGUAUAAUACUUUUAAUAGGAGUUUAUAAUAUAUGAUGAUCAAAUUUUGGUACUCUGGUACUAAUAUUCCACCGAACGUGGUUUCGCUUAUUAAUAAAGGGUAUUGAUGGCAAAAUUCUGAAAGAUGUAUGUAUAUCAAAUAUGCAUGAAUACUGGAUUUUAAAUUCACUUUCAGAUUGAUCACAAUCCUCGUCAUUUUCUUCCGACUCACAAUUAGGAAUAGUCGCUGUAAACAGACAACUGUGAGCUUGUGACUCCCUAAACUACAGACUUUUGUCUCUUUAUCACACUUCUUAUCAUAAAGUAACAAAACCCCUAAGCCCUUUUCUUUGCCCUAAUUUCUAAUGGAGUGAAACUAAAAGGCCUUUGUUUGCUCUUGCUUACUUCAUUCUGAAUUGGCUUACUAAAUGAGGUUUGCUAGCAUUGGAGCUGAAAAUUGAGGGUUGAAAAGGCUCUGAAGCAUGUGCAAAGGCUGGUGCUCACUUUAUUCCCAUCAUGAAUAAGCUUGAUCAACUCACUUAAUUUUGCAUCUAAUAGCUUUUCUUGAUCUUUGAAUUAUAUAUGAAUUGAUCUUGAUUGUUCUUUUAAUCUUUUGUCAAUUUAUCAUGAUUGUUCUCAGAGAUUUUUAUCAAGAGAUUUUGACUGUUUCAUAUUAAAUGAAUUUGCAACUAACAGAAUACACCAUCUUUUGGCUACAUAUAUACCAUUGAUUCUUAUUGUCUUUUGCCCCUUGUUCCUAAAAGGAUCAGAUCUGUAAUUACUUUUCGGUUUAAAUUUGUCACUGGUAAAAAUUGAUUGAAAGUCUUUCUUUAUUUUAGACAUUUUUUUUUUAUUUAAGUUAAUAUGUCGUUCUGUUCACCUGACAGAGGUUUUGGUUAGAAAAAUGUAGUGGGAAGAUGUGCCUCAAAAUGACAUGAAAACUCUCAAUCACACAGCUUGAAACAGAUUACUGGACGAGAAGGUGGAAUUUUACUGUCAUUUUGUUUUUGGGCAAUAAUUACCUUUUGUUACUUAGAGAUCUAUAUGCAUGUGUUGUAUGAUAAGUUUUUCAUGUUGUCAUUGUUAAAAACAGCGUAUAACAGUAUCCGGUGCUAGGUCAUGUGAUUUGGUUUGAAGUGUAUGGAAAAAAUACCCACUUCAAGAUUGUCAUGAGACAGCCUAUGAAGCUUAUCUUGUGUUUAGUCUCUCGGAUUACGUUUGCUAUGGACUUCACAUGCCUAUAAAGGCUUCUGUUGGGAUCCCAGGGGAAGAAAUCACAAAGGAGCUUAUAUUUGGACCCUCGAAUAGCCAAGUCCGGGAGCUGUAACCAUUAUCCAAACACAAAGCCGAGGGAAGGACAUCCCUUAACAGAAGUUACGUUUUUCAUUUUUUUUUUUUUUGUGCAAGAUUCUGUGCAAAUCAGCACGCUGCCAUCAUCAAAGGUUUACCUAAAUUUGGAAAUCGAUGCCGUGACUCUAAUGCGGAAUAGGUCUGUGAAUAGUAUAUCCUUAAAAAUUUAUAAUGUGUUUCAGCAGUGAUGAUGCACUAUUUGGUUCAUUCCAUUCUCAAAAUAUCACACAUUGCAGGCUUAUUGAAGAAGGAUACAUAAUUGGUGAUGGGAUUUCUAAAAUAGCAGUGCAAAACUAUGUUGCUCCUGCCAUAGAGAUGUUUGGUUUAACAGAACCCGGCGAGAUAGGAGGAACAGAGAGCAUCAGGGUUUGAAGAUUUCAGCCAAAAUAUAUACCUAUAUUUUGCAGUUGCAAAAGAAAUAUUCUAACAAUUUUGUUAUAAUUUCUGUCAACAGAAACAGGUUUUCUGCAUUGUAAAGAAUAGCAGUGUUGAACAAAAGGUACAGCUCGCGGAUGCCAGACCGGACUUGAGAAAAAGGAAGGAAAGUUAUAUUGUCAUCAUUAGGAACCUCCCAGUAGCAGAAAUAAGGUUCGAUACACGAACAAGACUGCUUAAAAAACCUACUACAUUCUUUUACUUGGGUAUUGUACGUGAAUGCAAAAAAAAACAUUGUUCUGCUCAAUGUUUAUUUACAAGUUUAGGAUUGUUAUACUUAGAGAUGAUGAGAAAGAAGCUUUUAAUUUCAUCCUGAUGAACCGUGCAACAAAGAGAAGGCACGACUGCAACAAAAUUGAUUGCAGACUUCCUCAAGGUAUGUAUAACUUCAACACACAUACCACAAGCAUUUUCAUUACAACAACCAACACUUUCAAUUUUCUUUGUUUCUUGGGUUCAAGAAGACACCAAAUGCAUUUCCAAAGGAAGUUACUGAACUAACCUGGAAAGAAGUACGGCUGCUGAUAGAAAUUAAGAAGGACAAUGUGGUUUCCAAAAGAAAGCUUUUUGUUGCUACAGAUGCUUAUAAAUCAGGGACUUCUUCUUCUGGAAUAACAUCUACUACAUUCACGGAAUCAAACAUGGAUACCAUAUCAGCUGCAGCCUGCAGAUGUAAGUUCAUGCCUAAAGAACAUAAAUAUAUAGUUGAUUUUGUAAGUUUUACUUAGAGGUCUGAAAUAUUUAUCCAUUUCUUCAAGCAUGAGACCUAUAACAAUUCUUAACUAUCCCAGGAUUCUAGCUUUCAGUUGGGUGAUUCUUCACACUCCAGGUUCUGCAAAGUCAGCUAGCAAGAAAAAAAAAAGGGUCAGUAUUUCUCCUAUUAAAUAUUUUUUUGUUUACGUUUUGAUAUAUCCUUUUCAUAUUUUUAACGAUAAACUUCUUCGAGAAUACAUUUUAAGGAGGUUUCUUUGUUUGAAACAGGAGAAAUGGAUGCUGCUAUUACCGGAAGAACAACACUGGAGACAUAGAGUUUCAAGAUUGGAAAUUACCUGUGGUUAAUAACAGCCGGUUUACGAAAAUUUGCCUAUGAAUUACUUAGUUUUGGAUAUUCAUUUUCUAUUUAAUUUGAGUACUCAAAGACUUCAUGCAUUUCAUUCUCAUUUAACUUUUUACAUAAUUGUUGGUUUUUGAUCGUAUUUUCAUCUUUAUUAGAAAUAUUUGGAAGAUCUAUGCUACAAUGUUUCAAUACAUACAUAAUUAUAAUAAUUUAUCGGAUUUUCUAGUGUGUGCGCAUAACAACCACUUUUUGUUGAGGUGCAGGGUUUUUAUUGGCCAAAACCUCAUUAAUAAUCAUGGCCCCUACAUAUGCACAAAAAUGACCUGUAAAAGCCCUCCACCUCAACAAAAAGUAAUUGUUAGUGUGUGUUCAUGGGCACACACUAGAAAAACCCAUAAUUUAUAUCAGACAAAAAUAAGUUACAAAAUUCAAAAAUAAAAUACAAACACAGAUAAUAAAAAUUUAUAAUAAUUCAACGAAUAAAUGAAAUAUAUAACUAAAUAUAACAACAUUACCGUGUGCGAAGCAGGAGCAAUAUUACUAGUAAAACCAAAAAUGAAAAUAUAUUGACGCAUGCUGGUGCCCAGAUUGCAGCUUCUGAGGGUGUUAGCUAAGUCACAGGUUUUCAAUGUGGAACAGAUAUAUUCUCUUUUGUGUGAUUCACCUGUCAACAAAUAACAUAUAUAUCAUGACCUUUUCUGAGUGCGGCUUUUUGAGGGUGUUAGAUAGGUCAAUGUCUAACAGAUUUAUUCAAUUUCGUGAGAUUCACCUAUCAACAAAUAACACAUAUAUAUUUCAUGAUCUUUUUGGUACAAUAUUAGAUUAGAAAGUAAAUUAUGUUUGAAAAGAGACUGAAAAUAUAAAUGUCUCCGAAUUAUUGUCGUCUUUGCUAGUUUUUAUCAUUGUUAUGCAUAUUUGUCCGUUAACUUUAACAGGAAAGGUUGGAUUCUUGCUGUUGCAUGGAUUUCAUUCUUUUGCGAGAGGGUACCGUGCAUUCCCAAUCUCAUUCUCAAUAAAUUUACAACAUAUAGUCUGAGGAGGUCGCACGAGAUUGCAUCUAAGUGAUGACGAUAUGCAAAAAGCGGUAUGUGUUUCACCAUACAUUUAUAUAAGGUUAAUGAUCAAGUAGUUCACUUACUUGAUAAUUAUUAUUAAGUAGGUGACAUGAUAAUUAACCCUAUAUAAAUGUAUGGUGAAACACAUACCGCUUUUUGCACAUCGUCAUCACUUGAUGCAAUCUCGUGCGACCUCCUAAGACUACGUGUUGUAAAUUUAUUGAGAAUGAGAUUCGGAAUGCAGGGUACCCUCCCGCAAAAGAAUGGAAUCCAUGCAACAGCUAACAAGAAUCCAACAUUUUCCGUUGAAGUUAACGGACAAAUAUGCAUAACAAUGAUAAAAACCAGCAAAGACGACAAUAAUUCGAAAACAUUUAUAUUUUCAGUAUCUUUUCAAAUAUAAUUACUUUUGUUUUAAUCUAAUAUUGUAUCAAAAAGUUUAUGAAAUAUAUAUAUGUUAUUUGUUGAUAGGUGAAUCUCACAAAAUAGAAUAAAUCUGUUAGACAUUGAAAAUAUGUGACCUAGCUAACACCCUCAGAAGUUGCACAGAAAAAAAGUCAUGAUAUAUAUAUAUAUAGAGUGUUACUCUAGUGAGAACCCUUAAAAUGAGAACUAAAUGAGAACCAUGUCGAAACAUAGCAAAUAUGGUAUGGAAAUUGAUCGUUCAGAGAUGAAUAAAAAUUCAAUGAAGUCGGAUUUUGAAAAAAGUUUACCAAUUGACGGGAAAAAUCAAAUUAAAAACGGAGGGGAAUCUGUGGAUCAUGUGUGGGAGGGUACAGGUUCAUUGUGUGUGGUGAAUUCUAGGGGGGCCAUCCAUUAAGGUCUCCACCUAGCUAGCCGAAAAAAAAAAUAUAAAAAAAUCACUGAUGACGUGGCAGUGGACCUUUUUUUUUGAAUUUUUUUUUUGACUAGCUAGGAAGAGACUAGUUUUAUAUACAUUUUUUAUAUUGCGCACCCACUAGUUUGAUGUUUAGAUUAGCCAAAAUAUGAUAAAUUAAGGAAAUUCUCACGGUUCUCAUUUUAAGAAGUUCUCAUUAGAGUAACCCUCUAUAUAUAUAUAUGUGUGUGUAUAUAUAUAUAUAUAUAUAAAUUAUCAGUGGCGGAACCAAGAAUAAAAUUUAGGGGCUCAGAUAUUUAGUUAUAAAAUAUCCAUAAUAUGAAAAAACAUACAAUAUUAAAAGAAAAUGCAACUAAUCUUUAGUUUCCAGAGCUAACUCAAAAGGAUAAGCAGUGUGUACGGGUGUCUCCGAAUUAUAAUGACAUCAAUAAUUUAGCGGGUGCUAAAAAAAAAUUCUGCUAUUCUUUCAAGGUCGGGGGCUCUAGCAUCCCCUACCCCUCUUGGUUCCGCCACUAUACAUUAUCUGUUUCUUUGUGAAUCACACAAAAGAGAAUAUAUUUAUUACUAGUAUUUUUGCAUGCUACGCUUGGUAAUUUUUAUUUUUAUAUACAUAGAAAAUCUGUGACCUAACCAACACCUUCAAGUAGAGGUGGCCAAAUGAGCGGGUUCGAACUGCUCGUUCGGAACCGGACCGGAUAAAAAUCGUUAAAAUUCGACUCGUGACGGGUUUGAUUCGGCCCGGCCCGACUCGUUAAAUUUUACGAAUCGAAUACGAAUCAUUAGGUAGGAAUUCGGAACCGGACCGCGAAUCAUACGAAUCUGACCCAAACGAAUCAUCGAACGAACGAGCUGAACGAAUCAUCCAACGAGCCGGUCAACGAAUCAGUCAAACGUUAAAUUUUUUAAUAUUUUCUUUAACUUUUUAUCUUCCUACUUUUAUUUAAUAUUAAAUAAAUAUUUUAACAUCUACAAAGUCAUUAGAGUUAUAAAAUUAGAGUACCGUAAUAUUUGGAAUAUAUAUAGGCCAACAUUCCAGAGAGGGACUCCUUAUAUGGAGUUACAUAGUGCGCCACUAUAAAUCAUCAAUUUUAUUAUAAAUUCUAUUAUAGAAUACAUAUAAAACGUGAUUCUAAUAUAGAAUACUAUAAAAUAAAUCUAUUUUAAGUAAUUUAACACUUAAAAUUUGAUUAAAAAAAAUAUAUUUUCGAAACUGAUUCUACAACAGAAUAAUUCUGGAUGAUUAUUAUUCUGUUAUAGAAUCAUGUUGAGAUAUUGCAUAAUUUUAGAUGAUCUUUGGAAUAAAAAAAUUGUAUAACUUCGUUUUCGGUUUAAUAAUCAAAAUUUGCAAUUAUAUUUCAUAAAAAAUAUAAUAGAAUAUAUAUUAUGUAUAUAUUUAUAAUGGUGUGCUACGUAACUCCAUAUAAGAGGGUAUGCUAUGGAGUGCUACCCUAUAUAUCAUAUCAUAAUUGUAAAAAUUUAAAAUUUUAAUAAUAUAAUAUUUAUUACUUUAUAUUAAAAUAACAAUUUAAUAAUAAUUCUAAAAAUUAAUUCAUACAUCAAAACAAUUUAAAAAGUCUAAAGACCUAUUUUAUAAUAUUAAAUAAUAUUCUAUAAUUUAAUGUACAUGUAAAUAUGAAUCGAGGAGGAAGGUAAAUAUCGAGUUUUAUAUAUUCAAAUGCCCAGCGUUAGUUUGAAUAAUUAUUUAAUAAAAAACACUUUCAAAGUUUGUAAAUGGUAAGAAACUUGUGCAAUUUGAAUCAGACGAAUUAUUACACGAAUCGAACGAAUCAUGCGAAUCUAACGAAUCAUUCGGUCCACCCGCCCGCGAGUUCCAGGUUCCUUUGUUUCAUGCUUUAUUUUAUUUUUUCCUGACUUCUUUUCUCUUGACUUCUUUUAUUUAUAAAAUAAAAUGAUUAUUUAAAACAAAUAUUUGAUUAAAAAACAUAAAAAAUAAAUUAAAAAAUAAAAUAAAAAUGAACCGUUUCAACUCGUGAACCCGCGAAUCGGUUCACGAGUUGAUUCGUUACGAAUCGGCCCGGAACCGGACCGGCCCGCGUAAUCAGACGGGCCGGUUACGAAUCAUAUAUCUGUAGCCCGGCCCGAUGAAAAUUCGGCCCGGCCCGCCCGUUUGGCCAGCACUACCUUCAAGCAAGCUUCAUUUUGUGCACCAAGCAUGCGUCAAUAUAUUUUUAUUUUUGGUCUUAUUAGUAAUAUUGCUCUGCUUCAGGUCAUGUUGUUUUCUUUUAUUUUUGCUAAAUCAAUUUAUGUGCUUUUACUUAUUUUAUAGUAAAGCAUCAUGUAUAAAUUUCUUUUAUUUUUGUUAAAUCAAUUUCUGUGCUUUUACUUGUUUUAGAGUAAGUAAAGCAAUGUAUAAUAUUAUCAUGUAUAAAAUUAUUAAUAUAAUUCUAAAAUAUUCUAUAAUUAUCUUUUGAAAUGAUCCUCUAUAUAUUUGUAAUAUCAAAUAUCAAUAAUAAAAAUAAAUUAAAACUAGCAUUUUCAAAUUCUGUUGCGCAAACAUCAAGAACAACCUGUUAAGCUUUGCCAAACAAUAACAUAAUGUAAAAACAAUGAGAAAAUGAGAUGCAAAUUACCAGAGUACUCCCAUCAAAGAUGACAUGAUUAUCAAUGAGGAAGAGAAACACAUCUUUCUUGUAGCAUUCCUCAGGUAGCUUUCCGAAUAAAUCAGCGUCUUCAAUCUCUUCUCCGGCCAUCGGUGUUUAUACUCUCACGCCUUUGUUAUGAAGGCUUGGUUCAUAUCCGCUCAUCUAAAUUAGACGAGUG